AUUCGUAAUCCCUACCAACCAUGUAUAACCAACCACAUUGGCAUCGUUCUAUCGUCCUACACAAAAUGGAUGGAAAAAGCAAAAGUAAAACUUAGAGAGAGAGAGAGUGAGAGAGAGAGAGAAAAAAGACGAAUAAAAGGAAUAAGAGGGAAUAAAGGGAAGAUAAAUAUGCAGGGUUAGCAGAUACCACAUGGACGUGAGUUCUCUCGCUUCGUCGACCCGAAACGCGAAACCGCAGCGUGCUAACUUGAACGGAGCAGGUAUUUGACACGUCGAUGCACAGUAGAGAACCAACGAUAAAGAGAGAGAGAGAGAGAGAGGGAAAGAGGGGAAGAGAGAGAGAGAGAGAGAGAGGGAGAGAGAGAGAAAGAGUACACGAGUACUGUAAGUAGACAAGCAAUUUCGAGUCCUCGUGUCCUUUCGAUGCUCAAAGCAAAAGGAAACGCGUGUUACACCCGCAUAUAGGACACGGAUCUCGCGUUACACAUUGGGUCCAUACCGCAAGGUCAACGAUAGAUUGGAUCUAGCGCAGAAAUGCGGUCGCACUUAUAGGUAUAGAUGUGUUAAGUUACAGGAGAAACACGAGAACGAGAGAAGAGGAUAAUACAGAGGCGUCCGUUACCGUUAGAAGGCUGGCGAUCUAAGGGCACCCUCGCACGACUUCUCGAAGGAGUUCGCGAAAGACCUGUCGAGAUCAAUUUAGGACGAUCGCCACUGUACUACGGAAAUCGAUACCCUGUUAGCGCGUUGUUUUAAUACUAGAGGUCGGUAGAUUCGUUUUGUAACUGUGGGAAAAGUUGAAUCGAUCGAGGACGAAGCUGUGGCCCCGUUACACCAUCGUUUUUUGCUCUCAUUGAUGGAACUUAUCGAUCUUAAAGAUCGUCUUCUCUAAUUCUCUCUUUCUCUCUCUCUCUCUCUCUCUCUCUCUCUCUCUCUCUCUCUUUUACUCUUUCACACGACAGAUUUAUUUCUCGUAGUAAGGAAGGUACGAUGUUUGCAGAGAGAUAAAUUCGGAGUCAUUCCGAAAAUAGAAAGAUCCACGAUAUCGGUAGAAUAAAAUGGUGCCUACCUCUCGGACUAUGGAUCGACGUCAGGAUGUUGAGAUGGUGGCGAAAGGAAAUAAAAGAAUGUAGUAUGUGCUUCGACGAAGGCGCGAAACGGACGAUUUAAAAGCGAGCGGCCGAUCUAUCGCGUCCACGCGGCGCCAUUGAUGCGCCUUUCAAGAUUUCCAACCGCUUAAGUGCCGUCGAUCGUGAAUCUCCCAGCCUUCGGAGGACAGCGAACGAGCUCUCCUCUUAUCACCGGUUUCGCCUAUGAUAGCCGCCGCGCGCACGAGCGAGUACGAACGAGUAAAAAAGAAGAGAAAAAAGAUACAGAUAGAACGAGAGGGAGACAGAAAGAGAGAGAGAGAGAGAGAAAGAGAGAGAGAGAAAGAGAGAGAGAGAACACUUUGCUACUGGCGGCACAUCGGCAGCACACGGCUUAAGGACAGAUCGAGCCGUGGAAUCUGGCAGAGACGCAUUGCUCGUCCCUUUUCGCGCCUAUCUAUCUACUCGAAGAGAGAACGACGACGACGACAACGACGACAACGACGACGACGACGACGACGACGACGAGGAGGAGAUCCUUUCCCGAACGCAUCGGGAUCGUGCGAAAUUUCACGCUCAAAGGUGACAGAGCAAGGUAAAAGAGCGAGGGUGAAGAUCGACGAGGCGAGAGACGCGAGAACAACAUUGCGAGUAGGGAGAGGGUAGUAAGAGUAACGACGAGGCAAGUAAACUCGACGACGACGACGACUACGUUACACCGGGUUAAGGACAGUUGCACGAUACAACGUACAGUAAGACGUGCAUACAAAUAGAAGUCCUUAGAGAAACGAGAAGCAGAGAGAGGAAGAGGGAGAGAGAGAGAGAGAGAGUGGUCGCUUGACGGUUACUUUACGAGCGGCAGUGCCUCGAGUUCACGCCGUGGCAUUACUUCCGAACCAUUAGGCCGUGCACGCCGUAUUGCAUUACCUCCCCCUUCAUGCUUUGGAAUCAUGUCCUUCCUACGCCCAUGAUUCCCGUUUCAAGCCUAAAGCCACCUUGCGAGAAGAAGAAAAAAGAGAGAGAUAAAGAGAAAGAGAGAGAGAGAGAGAGAGAAGAAAUAGAAGGCUGAGGAAUCCAAUAUUCUAAAUCAACGGGAUCGUAAAAUUGAAAGCGCGAACUCCGGCGACGUUCGAACCGAAGGUGGUCUCUAAUUAAUUGUUUAAAGUAUAAAUUGAAGCUAGGAUGAAAAUAAUGAAGAAGUAAUAUGUGAAAAAUCAGAAAUGGUAGAUAUUUAUUACGAUAACAAGCCUAAGUGUUCCGAGAAAAUUCUAACGUGCGAUUUCUCGAUUGGAA